CGUUGGUGAACCAGCGGAGGGAUCAUUACUGAGUACUACACUCUCUACCCUUUGUGAACUAUUAUACCUGUUGCUUCGGCGGCGCCCGCAAGGGUGCCCGCCGGUCUCAUCAGAAUCUCUGUUUUCGAACCCGACGAUACUUCUGAGUGUUCUUAGCGAACUGUCAAAACUUUUAACAACGGAUCUCUUGGCUCCAGCAUCGAUGAAGAACGCAGCGAAACGCGAUAUGUAAUGUGAAUUGCAGAAUUCAGUGAAUCAUCGAAUCUUUGAACGCACAUGGCGCCUUCCAGUAUCCUGGGAGGCAUGCCUGUCCGAGCGUCGUUUCAACCCUCGAGCCCCUGUGGCCCGGCGUUGGGGAUCUGCCACGGCAGGCCCCUAAAACCAGUGGCGGACCCGAAGGGCCCUCUCCUUUGCGCAGUAGCAUUCGCCUCGCAUUGGGAGUCCUCGGCGUCCUGCCUCUAAACCCCCCACAAGUCCGCUUCGGCGGCACC
rnacentral:misc_RNA from 1 species